rnacentral:rRNA from 1 species
CCGAAGUCAUGAGAAAUAACGUGACGUUAGAACCGUGCGAACGUAUGGACGCCGCCGCGACGGUCGGGUACCUGUGAAGUCAGGUUUUAAAAGUCCCUCGCCUGACCUCGCGGCCGAAAAGAGGGCGCGCGAGGACUUAUUUCUCGUGCGUCCCGCCCGUUAGAGAUGGGAAAAAUGGAAAUGUCGUAAUCCCACGAUCAGCGUAUCGAUGGCGAGAAUGAAUAAAUAAAACGAGUAAUUUCCUAGACGGUGGAUCACUCGGCUCGUGGAUCGAUGAAGAACGCAGCAAAAUGCGCGUCGAAGUGUGAACUGCAGGACACAUGAACAUCGACGUUUCGAACGCCCAUUGCGGCCCACGGAUUCUGUUCCCGGGCCACGCCUGGCUGAGGGCCGGCUAUCGAUACUAAGUGGUCGGGCUCGUUCCCGACCGAGCGGAGCGAUCUUCAUCGCGUGCCUCGCUCGCGGGGCAUCGCAUCGGCCUUCGCCGUCUCGCAGACACUCCCGCCGCUGCGGCGUUCGUCGCUUGGGUGACGAAGCCGCCGUACGCGUAUUCCGUACGGAAAAUAGCGGGUGCCGUAGAGCUUACGCUUCUGUGUGGCGGCAUGCUCGGCACUUCGCUUUCCAUGGCGGCUUCCGUACGGCGGCCGUGCGCUGCAGGCGGGCGGGGCUAUCACUUUUAAUAAUGCCGACCUCAUAGCAGACGAGACUACCCGCCA